AUUGAACGCUGGCGGCAGGCCUAACACAUGCAAGUCGAACGAGGGGGGGACGGGUGAGUAAUGUGUGGGACACCGCCUGAUGGAGGGGGAACACUACGGAAAGCGGGAUCAUAUACCGCAUACUCUCGGGUGUGCCCAGAUGGGAUUAGCUAGUAGGUGGGGUAAAGGCACACCUAGGCGACGAUCCCUAGCUGGUCUGAGAGGAUGACCAGCCACACUGGAACUGAGACACGGUCCAGACUCCUACGGGAGGCAGCAGUGGGGAAUAUUGCACAAUGGGCGCAAGCCUGAUGCAGCCAUGCCGCGUGUAUGAAGAAGGCCUUCGGGUUGUAAAGUACUUUCAGCGGGGAGGCGUUACCCGCAGAAGAAGCACCGGCUAACUCCGUGCCAGCAGCCGCGGUAAUAC
rnacentral:rRNA from 1 species